UCAACAGAUGGCGAUAUGCGUUUUUCAGGCGAUGCUAUCAGAGUGACGUAUAAUGUAGUGGACGGGACGCUUCUUCAACAACAUCUCGUCAGCCACCUCGGUAGCUUCCUAGCGGAAACGUUCAAGCUGUUCAGACUGCUUCGGUCUAUAUUUACUUCUGUAUUUGGAACAUAAUUCUGUCUUUUAACUAGUUUCCCCAUUUCAUGUCAUAUUUCCGUUUAGUCAGGUAACGGUAGCUGGUUUGAUAAAUGAGCCUAUCACUAGGCUAGUCGCUAACUAGCUAGGUUAGCUGGCUAACAUCCCCGACCAUGAGCUCAGCAAGCUGCUGCCCUCCUGCUAAAAAAGAGGUCUGCUGGAAGGAGAAAGAAGGUAUUUGGCUGAACGUUGUCGUGAAAGAGGAGAAUGAAGAGGAGGAUGUCACAGUAAACGAAGAAGUAGAGGGUGAGGCUGUUACACAGAAAGAAGAGGAAGAAAACGAUUAUACUUUUUUUGGAGUGAAUGAAGGAGAGAUAACUGUCAUAUUGAAGGAGGAGGAGAGGGAAGAAGAGGAGGAGACAGAAGAUCUGAGUAACACCAGAGAGAGACCAGACUCUCCUUCUGACAGCAGGAAGAGUCCUUCAGGGAAACCAGACCCCGAGAUGUCCAAACCAGCAGGACGACAUCACUGCUCCCAGUGUGGAAAGAGUUUUACUCAGUUAGGGAGCCUGAGAACACAUAAGAGAAUACACACUGGAGAGAAGCCUUACCACUGUUCCCAAUGUGGAAUGUCAUUUACCCAGUUAGGGAGCCUGCAAACGCAUGAGAGGGGACACACGGGGGAAAAGCUUUUCCAAUGUUCCCAUUGUGGAAAGAGUUUUGGCCAGGUAGGAAACCUGAACAAGCAUGAGAGGACACACACAGGUAAGAAGAUGUACCGCUGCUCCCAGUGUGGAGAGAGAUUUACCCGGUUAAGGUACCUGAAAGAGCAUGAAGGAAUACAUACAAAUACACAGGAGGAGAAGACAUACCACUGCUCUCAUUGUGGAAAGACAUUUUCCCAGUCAGAGAACCUGAAAACACAUGAGAGAAUCGAGAGGCUGUGUUCUGACUUGUGUUUCUGACUGAGAAUGUGUGUGUUUGUUUGGGCUGUCAGACUUGAGUUCACUUUGUGUAAUGUUAGUGCACUAUUUUUAAUUGUGAUUAAUCCAUUGUCUGAAAGGGUUAAAACACACUGAAAACAUCCAGAAUACAUCCUAUAUACAUCUAGAAUCUACAAUGCCAUGUAAACACAAGAUGACAUUGAGGUUAAAUAAAGUGUGAUUUAUCAAUGGAACAUAUUUUGACACGUCCACUGUGUGUCUCUGUAGAGUCAUAAUAUCCAUAACAACUAGAGGUCAAACAGGGAGAUGGUUCCAUUCAUUUUCCCCACAGGGCUGUGUUUUGUUUAGACUCACCCUGGUGUGAUGUUUUGAUAACCAUGUAAACCUCUCUGGGACAAGGUGACUGAGGACACAGUGUGUUGUCAAUUUAUUGUCAUGUUUUUAAAAUGGUACAAAUGCCUUUAUUUUAGCUGGACCCCAGGAAGAGUAGCUGUUGCCUUGGCAGGAACUAAUGGGGAUCCAUAAUAAACCCCAGGAAGAGUAGCUGCUGCCUUGGCAGGAACUAAUGGGGAUCCAUAAUAAACCCCAGGAAGAGUAGCUGCUGCCUUGGCAGGAACUAAUGGGGAUCCAUAAUAAACCCCAGGAAGAGUAGCUGCUGCCUUGGCAGGAACUAAUGGGGAUCCAUAAUAAAUACAAAUACUUUUAUCAAUAUAUUUGUCUCUCUCUACUCUCAGAUUUGAAAAUGCUAAUUAGCAUCAAAGAAGACAACAUGCAAUACUACAAAUCUCUGCAAGCUCCAGCAAUUAAUCUCUAGCCGACACCUUUCACAGAACAGUUCACAGAAUUGUCCAUUGAAUAAAUGUUGACAAUUUAAUCAUUGCUACAUUAAGGCCUGAUUGGUGGAGUGCUGCAGAGAUGGUUGUCCUUCUGGAAGGUUCUCCCGUCUCCACAGAGGAAAUCUGGAUCUCUGUCAGAGUGAACAUCGGGUUCUUGUUCACCUCCUUGACCAAGGCCCUUCUCCCCCGAUGUCUCAGUUUGGCCGGGUGGCCAGCUCUAGAAAGAGUAUUGGUGGUUCCAAACUUCUUCCAUUUAAGAAUGAUGGCGGCCAUUGUGUUCAUGGGGAACGUCAAUGCUACAGACAUUUUUGGUACCUUUCCACAGAUCUGUGCCUCGACACAACCCUGUCUCAGGGCUCUAUGGAAAAUUCCUUUGACCUCAUGGCUUGGUUUUUGCUCUGACAUGCACUGUAAACUGUGGGACCUUAUAUAGACAGGUGUGUGCCUUUCCAAAUCAUGUCUAAUUUAUUGAAUUUACCACAGGUGGACUCCAAUCAAGUUGUAGAAACAUCUCAAGUAUGAUCAAUGGAAUCAGGAUGCAUCUGAGCUCAAUUUUGAGUCUCAUAGCAAAGGGUCUGAAUACUUAAGUAAAUACAUUUUUCAAAAAUUUCAAAUCUGUUUUUGGUUUGUUAUUAUGGGGUAUUGUGUGUAGGUUGAUGAGGGGGAAAACAUAUUACAUUUUAGAAUGAAGCUGUAACGUAACUAAAUGUGGAAUAAGUGAAGGGGUCUGAAUACUUAAUGAAUACACUGUAUACCACUGGAAGAGGUUUCUACCAUUGGCAGUUUUGUACACAGUCAGGUGAUACGUGGUAUAGAAAGUCCAAUCUUAGGAGAGAACAUGGAGGCACUAUACUGUGUGUCUGCAGGUGUCUAUCUGGUCAAAACCACUGAUACAGGUGUCCCUCCACCCUCUGGUGGGAUGGAUCAUGUCUACAGAGGAACCUACAUUCAAAUACUUAGAUUUGUGAAAUUAUUAGAUAUUACUUGUUAGAUAUUACUGCACUGUCGGAGCUAGAAACACAAGCAUUUUGCUACACCUGCAAUAACAUUUGCUAAACACGUGUAUGUGACCAAUAAAAUGUAAUUCUGAUUUGAAAUAAACGUCCUAUUUAUCAAAGGUG